rnacentral:misc_RNA from 1 species
GAUGAAGAACGCAGUGAAAUGCGAUAAGUAAUGUGAAUUGCAGAAUUCAGUGAAUCAUCGAAUCUUUGAACGCACCUUGCGCUCUUUGGUAUUCCGAAGAGCAUGCCUGUUUGAGUGUCAUGAAAAUAUCAACCUUGACUUGGGUUUUGUGCUCUAGUCUCGGCUUGGAAUUGGGUGCUUGCCGCUUUUACGAGCGGCUCACCUUAAAUGUAUUAGCUGGAUCUGUCUUUGAGACUUGGUUUGACUUGGCGUAAUAAGUAUUUCGCUAAGGACAUUCUUCGGAGUGGCCUCGUUUCUAGGACGCUUGUCCGCUUUCCAAUACAAGUUCCACCUCGUGGACAUGACUUUUUAUUAUCUGGCCUCAAAUCAGGUAGGACUACCCGCUGAACUUAAGCAUAUCAAUAAGCGGAGGA